rnacentral:tRNA from 1 species
GGGGGCGUAGCUCAGUUGGGAGAGCGCGACAAUGGCAUUGUCGAGGUCGAGGGUUCGACUCCCUUCGCCUCCACCA